rnacentral:rRNA from 1 species
GGAAGCAGCUUGCUGCUUCGCUGACGAGUGGCGGACGGGUGAGUAAUGUCUGGGAAACUGCCUGAUGGAGGGGGAUAACUACUGGAAACGGUAGCUAAUACCGCAUAACGUCGCAAGACCAAAGAGGGGGACCUUCGGGCCUCUUGCCAUCGGAUGUGCCCAGAUGGGAUUAGCUAGUAGGUGGGGUAACGGCUCACCUAGGCGACGAUCCCUAGCUGGUCUGAGAGGAUGACCAGCCACACUGGGACUGAGACACGGUUCCAGACUCCUACUGGAGGCAGCAGUGGGGAAUAUUGCACAAUGGGCGCAAGCCUGAUGCAGCCAUGCCGCGUGUAUGAAGAAGGCCUUCGGGUUGUAAAGUACUUUCACCGGGGAGGAAGGCGAUAAGGUUAAUAACCUUGUUCGAUUGACGUUACCCGCAGAAGAAGCACCGGCUAACUCCGUGCCAGCAGCCGCGGUAAUUACGGAGGGUGCAAGCGUUAAUCGGAAUUACUGGGCGUAAAGCGCACGCAGGCGGUCUGWCAAGUCGGAUGUGAAAUCCCCGGGCUCAACCUGGGAACUGCAUUCGAAACUGGCAKGCUAGAGUCUUGUAGAGGUGGGUAGAAUUCC